GACGUACGGGGCCAGCGUUGUUCGGAAUUACUGGGUGUAAAGGGUUCGUAGGCGGUGCGGCAAGUUGGGAGUGAAAUCUCUGGGCUUAACCCAGAGGCUGCUUCCAAAACUGCUGUGCUUGAGUGUGGGAGAGGCGCGUGGAAUUGCAGGUGUAGCGGUGAAAUGCGUAGAUAUCUGCAGGAACACCCGUGGCGAAAGCGGCGCGCUGGACCACUACUGACGCUGAGGAACGAAAGCUAGGGGAGCAAACAGG
rnacentral:rRNA from 1 species